UUGUUGCUCAUCGCUGUUGGUCGCGAUGGAUUAGGAUUAUGUGUAAGACAAUCCAAGGAUGAUAGUAAACAAUAUGGGAAAGGUGCUACUUUCCCAUCCUGAAAGAUCAAUUAAUGCUGACUUAUCGAUUACCAGAUACAUAAGUAUUGCAAUUGAUAAAAAGAAAAAUAAAUUGAUGAAAUCUUAAUGUUUGGGAUGACGCAUAUUUUAUGUCCCAAAAAGUACACGAAAAACAUUUAAUUUUUGGAAGAACUGGUAAUGCUGGCUGUAGAUCGAAAAAAGAAGGUUACGAUAAUAGCUGAUUUGGUGGCAAUUGUAGUGACUGUUUAGCAGGAGGUGAAGGUGAAGGUUAUAUGGUUGAUGAAUCCUAAAUCUGGUGAAGUUUACAUAAUAGUUACCACAAGAAGUUAUGGUUGCAAUUUUCGUUGUGUUGUUCCUGAUUUAUAUCUAACAACAAGGUUUUUGUGUCUACCAGCUUGGAUCCUCAGCAGUGAUUCCAGAUCAUGUACCAGUAAAUGAUACGUUACUAAUAUUUAAUUAUCAUUAUUAUGUAAUCAUUAUUAUUAGAAAUAGAUAUUUUCUAACGGGAACUUAAUAUUAUAGUUCCUGAUAACUCAAAGGUUUCUUACCAACCAUUUAUAAUUUUGUUAAUAAUCGCUAGUACGAUUUUAUUACUUACUUUCACUGGAUUUUGUCUGCUGCUUUAUAAUCGCUGUCAGAAUCGAAAAAAUCUUUUAUAAUAUCGGCAAGUGAUGUUUGAAAAUGGUAUGGAGUUCACAGUCUUGGAAGCUAUCUCAAACACGAUAAUGACCAAGUUUAAUCCGAAUUACGGAUUCAUUAGAAACAUAUAUAGUUUUAUAGGUUUACCUUAGAUUCUACAUGAAUAUAUUUAUAUAUCUCUUUGGUAAAGUUAAUAUUUCAUUUCUUUGGAUGAAAGAAUCAUUCAAUAAUGAAAUAAACUUAUAAUGCAAAUAGACCACCUGAACAAAAUGCUUUUGGUGAAAUCUUUCAAAAUAUAGCAACGAGCACUCAGUAGCUAUUAAAAUUCUACUCUCGUAGAUAACAUCUCAAGCUAAAGAUGAUUUCAUGAUGGAAGGCUUUAUCAUGAGUAAAAUCAGGCAUCCCAACAUAUUACAUUUUAUUGGAGUCUUUUUCGACAGGCACCCAAGAUAGAAUUCGUAUUAGAAUUAUUAGCUGGUGAAAAAUUUCCUUCGUGAAGAAAGACGAAGACCGGAUCGUUCUACUACGUUAACUAUGUAUGAUUUGAUUAUCUGUGGCUACAAUGUUGCGAAUGAUUGUAAAUACGUGAAAGAGACACGUUUCAUACAUCGUGAUGAAAAUUUUAUAUUCACCUACAAAGGAUCUGAUUGUAUAGUAAACAACACGCACUUUGAUAUAGUUAGAGAUAUUUAUAAAAAAGAUUAUUACAUGAAAAACGGUAUAAAUAUGUUACCUAUCAAAUUGACAUCAUGAGAAAUUUUUCUAGAUGAUAUAUUUAUUACAAAAUAUGACAUCUGGUGAGUUUCAAUGACAAUGUUUUUCAAGAAAAUGAUUUCAAACAUUCAUUAUGUAUUACUAUUAUUAUUAACAUUUUGAUCCAUAAAAAAUUAAAUAACUUAUAAAUAAAAUUUUAUAUCAGACUGAUUUUAUAUCAAGAUUAAUUUUAUGGCGUCAUUUUAAUAGAUGAUCUCUCUAAUUUAAGUAAUGUUUAUAUUGUCUGUAUUUUACAGAUACAAAUAAUAAAUGAUGUAAUGAUUUUG